rnacentral:rRNA from 1 species
UUGAGAGCGGCGUACGGGUGCGGAACACGUGUGCAACAGCUUUAUCUGGGGGAUAGCCUUUCGAAAGGAAGAUUAAUACCCCAUAAUAUGUUGAAUGACAUCAUUCGACAUCGAAAACUCCGGUGGAUAGAGAUGGGCACGCGCAAGAUUAGAUAGUUGGUGAGGUAACGGUCACCAAGUCUACGAUCUUUAGGGGGCCUGAGAGGGUGAUCCCCCAAAUGGUACUGAGACACGGACCAGACUCCUACGGGAGGCAGCAGUGAGGAAUAUUGGACAAUGGGUGAGAGCCUGAUCCAGCCAUCCCGCGUGAAGGACGACUGGCCUAUGGGUCUUGUAAACUUCUUUUGUAUAGGGAUAAACCUACCCUCGUGAGGGUACUGAAGGUACUAUACGAAUAAGCACCGGUAACUCCGUGCCAGCAGCCGCGGUAAUACGGAGGGUGCAAGCGUUAUCCGGAUUUAUUGGGUUUAAAGGGUCCGUAAGGCGGAUCUGUAAGUCAGUGGUGAAAUCUCACAGGUUAACUUGUGGAAAUUGGCCAUUGAUAACUGCAGGGUCUUGAGUGUUGUUGGAAAGUAAGCUGGAAUUAAGUUAGUGUUACAC